rnacentral:rRNA from 1 species
UACCUGGUUGAUCCUGCCAGUAGUCAUAUGCUUGUCUCAAAGACUAAGCCAUGCAUGUCUAAGUAUAAGUAACUAUACAGCGAAACUGCGAAUGGCUCAUUAAAACAGCUAUAGUUUAUUUGACAAUCUAACUACAUGGAUACCCGUAGUAAUUCUAGAGCUAAUACAUGCUGUACACCGAACUUCAUGGGGAGGUGGUAUUUAUUAGAUAACAACCAAUAUUCCGUAGGUCUAUCGUGGUGAAUCAUAAUAACUGAUCGAAUCGCAAAGCCCUUGGCUGCGAUAAGUCAUUCAAGUUUCUGCCCCAUCAGCUUUAGAUGGUAGUGUAUUGGACUACCAUGGCAUUCACGGGUAACGGAGGAUUAGGGUUCGAUUCCGGAGAGGGAGCCUGAGAAACGGCUACCACAUCUAAGGAAGGCAGCAGGCGCGUAAAUUACCCAAUCCUGACUCAGGGAGGUAGUGACAAGAAAUAGCAAGAAGUACCUAGUAUUUCAUUGAAAUGAGCCGAAUUUACACCACUUAGUGAGGAUCAAUUGGAGGGCAAGUCUGGUGCCAGCAGCCGCGGUAAUUCCAGCUCCAAUAGC